rnacentral:rRNA from 1 species
CCUACGGGUGGCAGCAGUGAGGAAUAUUGGUCAAUGGGCGCGAGCCUGAACCAGCCAAGUAGCGUGAAGGAUGACUGCCCUACGGGUUGUAAACUUCUUUUAUAAAGGAAUAAAGUGAGGCACGUGUGUCUUAUUGUACGUACUUUAUGAAUAAGGAUCGGCCAACUCCGGGACAGCAGCCGCGGUAAUACGGAGGGUCCGAGCGUUAUCCGGAUUUAGUGGGUUUAACGGGAGCGUAGAUGGGUUCUUAAGUCAGUUGUGAAAGUUUGCGGCUCAACCGUAAAAUUGCAAUUGAUACUGGCAGUCUUGAGUACAGUAGAGGUAAGCGGAAUUCGUGGUGUAGCGGUGAAAUGCUUAGAUAUCACGAAGAACUCCGAUUGCGAAGGCAGCUUACUAGACUGCAACUGACGUUGAUGCUCGAAAGUGUGGGUAGCAAACAGGAUUAGAUACUCGAGUAGUC